UACGAGGGGGGCGAGCGUUGUUCGGAAUUAUUGGGCGUAAAGGGUGCGUAGGCGGUUUGGUAAGUCUUGUGUGAAAUCUCCAGGCUCAACUUGGAGUCUGCACGAGAAACUGCCGGGCUUGAGUGUGGGAGAGGUGAGUGGAAUUCCUGGUGUAGCGGUGAAAUGCGUAGAUAUCAGGAGGAACACCUGUGGCGAAAGCGGCUCACUGGACCACAACUGACGCUGAGGAGCGAAAGCGUGGGGAGCGAACAGG
rnacentral:rRNA from 1 species